CCCUUAGAUGUCCUGGGCUGCACGCGCGCUACACUGAUGCAUUCAACGAGUUUCUUCCUGGUCCGAGAGGAAUGGGUAACCUUUUGAAAGUGCAUCGUGAUAGGGAUAGACUAUUGCAAUUAUUGGUCUUCAACGAGGAAUUCCUAGUAGACGUAGUUCAUCAGACUGCAUCGAUUACGUCCCUGCCCUUUGUACACACCGCCCGUCGCUCCUACCGAUUGAAUGCUCAGGUGAGCCAUUCGGACCUUCAUCAUGCCGGUUUCCGGUUUUGAUGAGGGAAAGUCUUGCGAACCUUAUCAUUUAGAGGAAGGAGAAGUCGUAACA
rnacentral:rRNA from 1 species